rnacentral:rRNA from 1 species
UACGUAGGGGGCGAGCGUUGUCCGAAGUUACUGGGCGUAAAGCGCGCGUAGGCGGUCUCUUAAGUCUGGGGUGAAAGGUUCACGGCUCAACCGGAACAGUGCCUUGGAUACUGGGAGACUUGAAUCUGGCAGAGGAUAGUGGAAUUCCUGGUGUAGCGGUGAAAUGCGCAGAUAUCGGGAAGAACACCCGUGGCGAAGGCGGCUCUCUGGGACGGUACUGACGCUGAGACGCGAAAGCGUGGGGAGCGAACAGG